AGGACGAACGCUGGCGGCGUGCUUAACACAUGCAAGUCGAGCGGAAAGGCCCUUCGGGGUACUCGAGCGGCGAACGGGUGAGUAACACGUGAGUAAUCUGCCCCUAGCUCUGGGAUAGCUCCGGGAAACCGGGAUUAAUACCAGAUACGACCACUUUAGACAUCUGUUGUGGUGGAAAGAAUUUUGGCUAGGGAUGAGCUCGCGGCCUAUCAGCUUGUUGGUGAGGUAACGGCUCACCAAGGCGACGACGGGUAGCCGGCCUGAGAGGGCGACCGGCCGACACUGGGACUGAGACACGGCCCAGACUCCUACGGGAGGCAGCAGUGGGGAAUAUUGCGCAAUGGGCGAAAGCCUGACGCAGCGACGCCGCGUGGGGGAUGAAGGCCUUCGGGUUGUAAACCCCUUUCAGCAGGGACGAAGCGAAAGUGACGGUACCUGCAGAAGAAGCGCCGGCUAACUACGCGCCAGCAGCCGC
rnacentral:rRNA from 1 species